rnacentral:rRNA from 1 species
CCCACCCUUAAUUAUAUAUUAAUGUUGCUUUGGUGGGCGGGGGGGCAGGGCCGCGCCCCGGCUUCGGCGAAGGAGCGCCCGCCAGAGGAUUCUACAAACCUGAUUAUUAGUGUCGUCUGAGUACUAUAUAAUAGUUAAAACUUUCAACAACGGAUCUCUUGGUUCUGGCAUCGAUGAAGAACGCAGCGAAAUGCGAUAAGUAAUGUGAAUUGCAGAAUUCAGUGAAUCAUCGAAUCUUUGAACGCACAUUGCGCCCCGUGGUAUUCCGCGGGGCAUGCCUGUUCGAGCGUCAUUAUGACCAAUCCCGUUCGCGGGGUCUUGGGCACCGCCAUCUGGCGGGCCUCAAAAUCAGUGGCGGUACGGCCGGGCUCUGAGCGUAGUAAAUCUUCUCGCUACAGGGUCCCGGGCGGCACUGGCCAGCAACCCCCAAUCUUUCACAGGUUGACCUCGGAUCAGGUAGGGAUACCCGCUGAACUUAA